rnacentral:lncRNA from 1 species
AACAACACAGAGAAAGUAAAAAGAACAACAGCAACACAACAACAACAACAAGAAAAACAACAACAAAAGAAAGAGGUUGGAAAAGCUUUCAAAACUUGUAAAGCUUUAAUACAGUGUAUUUGACAUAUCUCAGUGAAAUGUGCACCAGAGGAGAAAAAAAGCAUGUCAUUGCUCUGAAACUGUCUUUUCUAAUUCAGUGCAUCCAUGUAUUGUUAUAAAUCUGUUUCCCAAUCUUGCUUUUUCACUGAAAGAUGCAGACACAAGGGAACAAGCUUCACUGCUAUCUAUCAGCUCAGAUAAGGAAAAGUUCCUUUCAGCCCGACGCUGACAGCUUAUUGAAAUGGAGGCUGAGUUGCAUGCAAAUGAGAGAAAGACUGAUAUGGCAGUUUUAGACUUCAAAGGCGUCUCUGUGUUGAUAAUACAGGAACACGUCACAAAACAUCAUGGCUGGGAUUCACCGAUUGUCUUCGUCGCUGGCUGCUUUAGAAAAUUCUUUUUUAACCACUUCAAUAUUCCUAAGGAAUAUAGACUAUUUGGAAGAUGUGUUUAAUUAAGGCAGUACAUAAAAGAUAUAAGAUGACAAGAAAAGAACCCCAAAUAUGAAGUCAGAGACUGAGGUAACAUUUUAGUUUUCUCACUUUAUAACUUUGUGAUUUCAAAUGUUAAGCUUCCAGAUCUUAGUUUCCUCAACUGUAAAAUGUAAAUAAUAAGAUAUGCUAU